UACGUAGGGUGCAAGCGUUAAUCGGAAUUACUGGGCGUAAAGCGUGCGCAGGCGGUUUGGUAAGUCUGACGUGAAAUCCCCGGGCUCAACCUGGGAAUUGCGUUGGAGACUGCAAGGCUAGAAUCUGGCAGAGGGGGGUAGAAUUCCACGUGUAGCAGUGAAAUGCGUAGAGAUGUGGAGGAACACCGAUGGCGAAGGCAGCCCCCUGGCUCAAGAUUGACGCUCAUGCACGAAAGCGUGGGGAGCAAACAGG
rnacentral:rRNA from 1 species